ACAAUUUAAUAUAUUGUGUACCUGUGUGUGAAAAGGCAGCUGAAAGUCAAGCAGAUCCCAUGAUGAGGGGGUUGAUGCUGGCACUUUGCAUAAGGUUAUCUGAAGAUCAGAAUUUUCUGGAAGUAAAGUGAAGUAAGAACAGUGCCUUCUGGGUUUUAUAAAGAUAGUUCUCUCUAGGAUACCAUGAAUUCUAAAUACAUAUCAUGGUGAUCCAUCUUGC